rnacentral:rRNA from 1 species
GACGAACGCUGGCGGCGUGCUUAACACAUGCAAGUCGAACGGAAAGGCCCUGCUUUUGUGGGGUGCUCGAGUGGCGAACGGGUGAGUAACACGUGAGUAACCUGCCCUUGACUUUGGGAUAACUUCAGGAAACUGGGGCUAAUACCGGAUAGGAGCUCCUGCUGCAUGGUGGGGGUUGGAAAGUUUCGGCGGUUGGGGAUGGACUCGCGGCUUAUCAGCUUGUUGGUGGGGUAGUGGCUUACCAAGGCUUUGACGGGUAGCCGGCCUGAGAGGGUGACCGGCCACAUUGGGACUGAGCUACGGCCCAGACUCCUACGGGAGGCAGCAGUGGGGAAUAUUGCACAAUGGGCGGAAGCCUGAUGCAGCAACGCCGCGUGCGGGAUGACGGCCUUCGGGUUGUAAACCGCUUUCGCCUGUGACGAAGAGUGAGUGACGGUAAUGGGUAAAGAAGCACCGGCUAACUACGUG